GAGUUCCCUACGUUAAUAAAGAGGAAAGCAAAGAUUCAUGCUGAGAAUGAAAUGAGGUAACCUGACAGAGGAUUUUAGCUCUCCAUCAACCAGAGAACUCAAUAUAUGUGGAAUACGUCACACAAAGAGAAAGGUCACAGAUAAGGCUAAUAUGGAAUUUAUGGAUCCUGGACCUGAAAAAGCUGCCAUCAUUGGAACUAAUCUCAUUGCCUGAAUAGAAUGAUCCAAGUCCAAUUUCUAAAUAUGCAGAAUGCAACUCUUGCUCACCAAGUUCUGUCUUUUCAAAUGCAUCAUUUUCAUCUGGUUCUUGAGUAUGGUCCUGCUCAAAUCCCUCCAGACACUAAAUAUAACCAAGACUCAAUCAUCUAUAGAAGAUAUGACGUCUUCAGAAGAAAAAUUGCACUUCAUGUACACUUCCCUCUCCAGUUGCGAAAUCUUGAAUAGCAGUAGAUUGGAAAUGUUUGUAAUCCUUUACUACUUUGCUUGUGCUGUUAAUAUAAGGUAAAAGGUAAAAGUUUUACAUCUCAAAUGUAAAAAUCUCCAGUUUCUAAAGCCUGGUCUAAACCUUUACCCAACUGUCGGGAACUUUGUGGCCUUUUGAUUCCAGAUGGAAAUACUGUGAGAAUGACUUUUCCUGUGAGAAACCUACAAGUUUAAUUUGUGUAUAUGCAAAUGUGCAUAUGCGUACUUAUAUAAAUUCUGAUCUCUUUAAAAUAAGCUUAGCUGAAUGUGUUACUAUUAAUGAGUAAAAGUUUUAGGAAGAAGUCCAAGUUUAUCCAAAACAGCUCAGUAGUGUUUCAUUCAAAUCCAUUUUAAACUUGAAUUUUUCUGCUUUUUACCACAGAGACAUUCAUAGAUAAUAGCCUCUUGGAUAACCAAAUGCAAACUACUGUAUUAAAUUAACUCAACCUUAAUAAUCAGAAGGCCCCAGAAGUGAAUUAAAGAGAACAAGGUGUUAAGCACAGUGAAAUGAAGGGAAAGAGAACAAAAUUAAAGAAUGAAAAACAGAUAAGUAAAAGAUAACAAUUUGGUGUCAUUUAUACAAAGCUCUCAGAAAUCUGUAUCUUGUGGGUUAAGGCUGAAAUCAAUUCAUCUAUAUUUGGACAUGCCUCACAGUGUCAACAGGAGCCAGGAACACGGGGAAUCUAGAAACACUUGUGCAAUAAUUAACAGCACAGCCCAGCCAGACCUGGUUCAGCAUGAGCUCUGGCCAUCACAGCAAGCCCUGAGAGAAAUUCAAGUCAAUAGAGAACAAACCAUGUGAUGCAUGUGAUUUUUCUUUGUGCAGAGCUGCAUCUUUUUGCUUCUGAAUUCUGUAGUGUCCCCAGAAAACAAGUGUGCUGCUGAAGGAAUAAAAUGAGGUCACACCAAGGUGUCUGGCAGUGACCAAGAAAAUAAUUCUCAAUGAGCAAAUAAAGAAAUUUUAUUGUGCUUAAAACUUAUUGUAUUUGAAGAAUUACACCAUUGCUGGCAUGGGUUGGAAAACUGAGAGGUAUCAACUGUCGCAACUCUAUCGAUUCCUGUUUAUACAACAUUAAGGUCUGUCUCAAUAUCUCUAAGGGUCACUGAAAAUCAAAAGGCUAUUAGAUGGUCUUCUGGUGGGAUUUAAUCCCUGAUUUAAUAGAAUGUUGUGUAUGCAUGAAUGUAACAUAACACUGGGUUUUUA